rnacentral:rRNA from 1 species
GCUUACCUGCAGUCGAACGGAAAGGCCCUGCUUUUGUGGGGUGCUCGAGUGGCGAACGGGUGAGUAACACGUGAGUAACCUGCCCUUGACUUUGGGAUAACUUCAGGAAACUGGGGCUAAUACCGGAUAGGAGCUCCUGCUGCAUGGUGGGGGUUGGAAAGUUUCGGCGGUUGGGGAUGGACUCGCGGCUUAUCAGCUUGUUGGUGGGGUAGUGGCUUACCAAGGCUUUGACGGGUAGCCGGCCUGAGAGGGUGACCGGCCACAUUGGGACUGAGAUACGGCCCAGACUCCUACGGGAGGCAGCAGUGGGGAAUAUUGCACAAUGGGCGGAAGCCUGAUGCAGCAACGCCGCGUGCGGGAUGACGGCCUUCGGGUUGUAAACCGCUUUCGCCUGUGACGAAGCGUGAGUGACGGUAAUGGGUAAAGAAGCACCGGCUAACUACGUGCCAGCAGCCGCGGUGAUACGUAGGGUGCGAGCGUUGUCCGGAUUUAUUGGGCGUAAAGGGCUCGUAGGUGGUUGAUCGCGUCGGAAGUGUAAUCUUGGGGCUUAACCCUGAGCGUGCUUUCGAUACGGGUUGACUUGAGGAAGGUAGGGGAGAAUGGAAUUCCUGGUGGAGCGGUGGAAUGCGCAGAUAUCAGGAGGAACACCAGUGGCGAAGGCGGUUCUCUGGGCCUUUCCUGACGCUGAGGAGCGAAAGCGUGGGAGCGAACAGGCUUAGAUACCCUGGUAGUCCACGCUGUAAACGGUGGGUACUAGGUGUGGGGUCCAUUCCACGGGUUCCGCGCCGUAGCUAACGCUUUAAGUACCCCGCCUGGGGAGUACGGCCGCAAGGCUAAAACUCAAAGGAAUUGACGGGGCCCCGCACAAGCGGCGGAGCAUGCGGAUUAAUUCGAUGCAACGCGUAGAACCUUACCUGGGUUUUGACAUGGAUCGGGAGUGCUCAGAGAUGGGUGUGCCUCUUUUGGGGGUCGGUUCACAGGUG